rnacentral:rRNA from 1 species
AUGACGGCGGGGCCUAAGAGCGGCGGGGGCGGCGCGGCAGCCGCGCGAGCGGCGGCCGCGGGGCCGAGGACGGUGCUCAUCACGGGGGUCAGCCGGGGGCUGGGCCGAGCUUUAGCUCUGGAGCUCGCGCGCCGGGGGCACGCCGUCGUCGGCUGCGGCCGCUCGGUCGAUCCCAUCCGCUCCCUCGAGGCCGAGAUGGGUUCCCCGUCUCGCCACUUUCUCACCGUCGCCGACGUCAGGUCUGACAGCAGCAUGGGUGAACUGGCAAAGGCUGUUGUGGAAAGGAAGCAAAUUCCUGAUAUCAUAGUAAACAAUGCUGGUACAAUAAACAAGAAUAACAAAACGUGGAAUGUUCCAGCAGAAGAAUUUGAUACGGUGGUUGAUACAAAUAUUAAAGGAACAGCAAAUGUACUUCGCCAUUUUGUACCACUUAUGAUACAGAAGAAACAUGGGAUGAUAAUCAAUUUAUCCUCUGGUUGGGGAAGGUCUGCUGCUGCAGAGGUUGCUCCAUAUUGUGCUUCAAAGUGGGCUAUUGAAGGUUUAACACGCUCAUUAGCAAAGGAGUUGCCUCCUGGAUUGGCAGCAAUUGCUCUUAGCCCUGGUGUUGUGAAUACCGACAUGCUUACUUCAUGCUUUGGAAGUUCAGCUGCGUUAUACCAAUCUACUGAGCAAUGGGCACCCAAGGCAGCCACAAUGAUUCUAAGCCUUUCACUGGAAGAUAAUGGUGCCUCACUAACUGUAUGA